UGAGGGGGAUGAGAUCGAGGUAUUCGAGGACGAGGUGGUCGUGCCAAAGCACGUGACGCUUAUACAGUCACACAACCUCCCUUGCCUCCACUACCUCCUAUCCCUCCUUCUACUCAAGCACCUACUUCUAAUGCUGCAGCACCAUCUGCACUUGCUAUAGCACCAUCAGCAUCAGCCCCACCACCCGUGGAGGGAGAUGCUCGACCAAAGUUGAUGACUUUGAAAGGAUGUUGACAGCUUGUAUCCAUCAUCUGAUGCCUCCAAAGCCAUUAUGAGGAUCUUCAAACUUCAUUUGGAGAAAGAUGGUUGGUGUUAGGGAGGUAUACCAGCAGAGGCUAGACAGUUGUACUUGGAAGAGUUUAUGAAGGGGUUCACAUGGGAAUCAGAUGCUAUAGAGGCUCUGUUUAAGAAAGCUUAGGAGACACAAUCAGCGGAGGGCUACUCAAACUUCCUGUACAAGAUGUGGAGUACAGGAAAGAAGCAAAGGUGUAUUUUUUACGAGGUUUGGACUAAUUGGUAGUAGGCUUGGUCCUAUCAUGAAUAUGUGAGAAAACGAGAGAUUAUGUCCCAUAAUAGAUUCAAUGAAAUGGGUGGUGAGUGAGCUGGUCUAUCUUGACUCACUGGCGGUGCCAUUUCAGCAGCUGAGAUUACUGAGAAAUUGGCAUUGAAGUUGAAGCGUCAACCUACCCCCAUGAAGGUCUUCACAUAUACACAUACGAAGGACGAUGAUGGGGUCACAUUCAUUGAUAAGCAUGUCGAGCUUGUUAAAGAUAACUAUAUUACUAGAAAAGAGCGAGCUACUGCAUCUCAGGCUUAUACUAGUGAGAAGCCUACAAAAUCGAUGAAUUUUAGCUUUAUCUCGAGGCUACAGGAGGCGAGAAGAAGAGAAAAGUGUAUGGUAUUGGUUCACAAUAUGAUAUUUUUUACAGCCGCACACAUGGAAAUCAGUGAGUUGAGCCACACUAGCUAAGCCAAAGGCACGUACCGAGGAGAUCUAGGAUUUACGGGCUCAGCUUUAGAAGCAGCAACAAUAAAUAUCACAGCUUGUAUUGCAGCAGCAACAACAACUGAUGGAGAUGUAUGCUCGAGACUGAGCUACAACACCGCCAGCUCUCUCUGCAUCGACAGAUCACUCUGAUCCCCUGGCUUCUUUCACUCUGCCUACUUCUUAGAGUCCCAUUACAGAUUUUGCAAAUCUGACCCCUUAUGCUUCUUUUUUAUUACAUGUUUAUUUUGUAUAUAUUAUGGUAUAAUUUGUAA